rnacentral:rRNA from 1 species
GACGAACGCUGGCGGCGUGCUUAACACAUGCAAGUCGAACGGAAAGGCCCUGCUUUUGUGGGGUGCUCGAGUGGCGAACGGGUGAGUAACACGUGAGUAACCUGCCCUUGACUUUGGGAUAACUUCAGGAAACUGGGGCUAAUACCGGAUAGGAGCUCCUGCUGCAUGGUGGGGGUUGGAAAGUUUCGGCGGUUGGGGAUGGACUCGCGGCUUAUCAGCUUGUUGGUGGGGUAGUGGCUUACCAAGGCUUUGACGGGUAGCCGGCCUGAGAGGGUGACCGGCCACAUUGGGACUGAGAUACGGCCCAGACUCCUACGGGAGGCAAGAGUGGGGAAUAGUGCACAAUGGGCGGAAGCCUGAUGCAGCAACGCCGCGUGCGGGAUGACGGCCUUCGGGUUGUAAACCGCUUUCGCCUGUGACGAAGCGUGAGGGACGGUAAUGGGUAAAGAAGCACCGGCUAACUACGU